rnacentral:lncRNA from 1 species
UAUUAUUAACAUGCUAAAUCAGGCCUUCAAAUUUUUAUUGACAUUAUUGCCUGCUACACUCAUUUAAGAGCUUUCUAGUUUAUAUCAAUCAAUAGGGCUUUUCUGGAAGCUGAAAUAUAUGGGAAAGUACUUCCUUUUUCCUAGGUGGUAGAUAAGAUGAGUAUUAGUAAAUAUAAAGACAUCAACUCUUUCAAAACUACUGUUUUUCUUCAGUCAGUGAGGUGCUGCAUUAGAACAAGAACUGGUCAGCAAAGAAAAAUGGGAAACUGAUCUAAGUUUCUUGUCUCUUGAGUCCGAUGAUCAUAGUUUGACUUCUCUUUAACUUCAGUUUAGAGUGGAUUUAUUAUUUCUGUAAGCAAUGUGAAUUUCCAAAUUGAAGAACACAUCCAUAUAUACACGUGUACAUAUAUUCCCCAAACAAGAAUAAGUAUUUAGAUCUUCCCAAUGUGGGUUAGUAGGCCCUCUUCUAAUCUCUUACUGGCUCAGCACUGAACAAGAAUUAGCUUUAUAGCAGACUCCUUUUUGUUCUGCUUUUGGUGUAAAAAUGAGGUUUCUAUAGAUCAAGAAUCUGCUAACACAACUUUUUCCCAUAUCUGGAGAUAUGAUCAUUUAAUACAUAUUCUACAAGUUUUUUCUCUCCAGCUAAACUAUGUCUGAGCAAGAAAGCUUAACUUGACUGAUGAAUCUGACUGUCCAGAGAAUCCUUUAGCUGUAUUCAACUCAGAUACAAUACUGUAUUUCCCCCCACACUUCACCAGUAAGUCCUCCAAACUCUUCCUGAAGCUUUCUUUGCCUUCCCUGGCUACUACCCACCAGACCAGUAGUGCCAUGCCCUGUCAUGAGCCUCACUUGCCCAAUAAAUUCAGAGGCCAAAAGAAUACAGUGUGGUACCUUUAGACAAGAGUCAUGCAGGAGGCACUUAAAAUUUUGUUGAGAGGGCAGAUUUUAUAUUAAGUGUUCUUACCACAAUAAAAUAAAGUUUUUAGAAAAAAAGAUUUAUUUCCUUUGGUACUUUCACAGAGCAGCAUAAGGACAAAACAGGAAGAAGAUGGGAGAGCUCUCAUAACUAGCCAGUGGAGGUCAAAGUUGAGAUAUUACCUUUCGCAGAAAGCUUGAUAAAUUAUCAUAAUAAGAAAAAUAUGACCAAAAAUCAAGCCUCAAGAAUGGCUAGGUGUUCCUGCUGUGGCGCUAUGGGAUCGGGUGCUGUCCCUGGAGUUCUGGGAUGCAGGUUCCCUGCCUGGCACAGUGGGUUAGGGAUCCAGCGUAGGUCACAACUGUGGCUUGGAUCUGAUCCCUGGCCCAGGAACUCCUGAUGCCAUGGAGCAGCCAAAAAAGGAAAAAAAGAAUGGCUAAAAUCAUUAGCAUGAAUGCCUCAGAGGGAAGUGACAGUUUCCCAUUGCCUACUUAUGGAAAGAGGAUGGUCACCAGAGUUUACUACUCUUCUAAAAUAGGACAGGAAAGAGGACAAGCUGAGAUAUGAAGAUGAUGCAUUUUUAAUUGGUUUCAUUCUGUGAUAUCUAAUUGACACAUAAAGUGUAAGUUGCGAUUAGGCUGUAACUAUAGACCCUGGUCAUUUACCUCUUUAAGUCAAAUCAGUAACAUAAAGGAUAAAACGCAUUAAUAUUUUUAUGCUUCUAUCUGGAUUACUAGCCCACUGAGAAAAGAUAGGGUGUCACCAAAUACACAGAAUAAACCAGUGGUUACCACUGGGGAGAGGGAAGGGGAGGGGCAAGACGGGUGGGAAUUAAGAGGUACAAACUAGUAUGUACAAAAUAAAUAAGCUAUAAAGUUGUAUUAUACUACACAGGGAACAUAGCUGAUAUCUUAUAAUAACUACAAAUGGAAUAUUAUCUUUAAAAAUUGUGGAUUAUGUCAUACACCUAAAAUAUAUAGUAUUGUAAAUCAACUUUACCUCAGUUAAAAAAAAAGUUACACUGUUGUGUCUUUAUCAUAGUUAUUUCAGUUCAUGACAUCUUAUAUAAAGGACCUUUAGCUGACACAAACAGUAGAAGUAACUAAAGUCCAAACCAGAAAAAUGUAAUGUGAGAGAGUCUUAUAAAAUUACGUACUUGAGGCUUAACUUCAUAUUUUUUAGAAAAGAAAUUCAGCCUUUUUGUGUUAACAAAAUGAAGAUGUAACAUCAGACCACAAUAUUCUGAAGGAAUGAAUUUAACACAGUUGUUAUAUUAAGCAAGCUUGGAAUAUAUAUAUUUAUUUAUGAGAAGUAUAAGAAACCUAUUCUCUAAAGGGCUCCAACAUACCCUAAUUCGGCUUUGAGAAUUGCUUUGAUAACUCUCUCUUGCGAAAAGUAGAUGAAAGCUUGCACUAGGAGUGAUUAAGAGAUUUAUGGGAUUUAUAUACUAACAUGAAAGCCCAGGAUUUUAGACUUGUGCUAAUUGUUCCAACCCUGGGUCCCAAAAGUCUGACUCCACUAUUGAGAUAUUUUAAAAGAUAUUUCAAAACAUGCUUCAGGAAUCCCACAGUUCUUUAAUUCAAAUAUUAUUUCAUACCUUUUUAUAUAUCAUUUAAACUAAUAGAUUUAAAAGGUACAAUUGUUCAAAAGUGUUGAAUACCAAAUUUUGACACAUUAGAAUUAAUGUCUGAUUUCAUGCUCUCAGUAACAUCAUUACAGUACAAAUUUCAAAAUAAUGGUAGCUUUGACAUCUUUUUGCAUAUAGUUGAAUGUCUUACCAAUGCAAAUUCAUUCAUCUUAAAAAUUUACAUGAUUAAGGACUUCCCCAGUGGCCUAGUGGUUAAGGAUUUGGCAUUAUCACUUUUGUGGCUUGGGCUCCAUCCCUAGGCCAGGAACUUCUGAAUGCCACAGGCGUAGCCAAAAAACUAAAAAUUAAAAAAACUUAUGUGACUUCGCAUCCAUGUUUUUGUAAUUAAUUAUCCCAGCUGUGCAUGUCUGUCACAUUAGAUUAUACAUUUUGCAUCAGCUUUUGUGUUUGCCAAUAAUGUGUACAAUAUGAGUAAGUUUCGUUAGAUCACACAGAUUGUUAUAGUUCCAUCCUGCCAGCUGCCGACAACAUUAGCAGUGAAGGCAAACCUUGAACUAACAUGCAAAACAAAAUCUAUUUUACUGUUUUGAAACUUUAAGUGACUCUCUAAUAGGAGCAAGCACUGAAGUAUACAGCUUUAUUAUAAUAACUACAGCAAAUGUCACACUAUAAGAUAAUUUUUUAAAAUAUUUUCUACAAAAGAUUGUAUCUUUUCUAUCGACUUCUCUGAAAUUUAAAUGCUUACCUACUUAAUUAUGUGAGUAGUAGUUGGAUAACAAAAUGAAUAAAUGUAGGAAAACGUAUAAUAAUCUCUGUGGUGUUUCAGAAUCAGUUUAAUGGUCCAAUACCCUAAGAGCGUAAAAUGAACAGCUUAGAAAAGUGUUAUUUUCUCCCGGUUUAACAAAUUAGGAAUUUCUCCCUAUUAUUCAAACAAAAAUAUACAAAAAUUGGUUGUGUUGAAGCUGAUAAAAGAUUACAACUGCCAUAACUAGUAUGAUAAUAACCGUUGCUUUGAAUUAUCAAUUUGUCAUAAUAGUGUAAUAAUAUUCCCCAGUUUUAUAAAGACUUACAAAUGUAAACUCAUAAAACAUGUUAAAGCUACACAAUUUCUAUUUUUUGUUUGUUUUAUGUAUUCACGAUCUGUAAAAGUUAACAUUUGAAAAAUGAGUUCCACUGUUGCUUAAAAUUUUUGAAAACUGCUGUGUUAAAAUAACACAAAAAUCAAAAUUAAUGGUUUUUAAGUUGUACAAGUAAGCACUCAGUGUACUUCAGUGAUCAUCCCUAAGUUUUGUUUGCUUUCCUUGUAAUAUAGAUUCUGAAGACCUAAGAUCUAAUUUUUACUUUGAAAACUGCAUCUUCCCAGACAGCCAAUUUUGGCAUGCCUUAAAUAAUAGAUUCCCACCAAAUCACAUUUGUACAGUCUAUGGUAUUUACCAAGGUUAUUUUGUAGGUUUGCGUGUUGAAGCUAGCACUUGAGCAACCUGUCAGUUUCUCCUGGUCCUCUGCUUACUGUUGGGAAUGAACUGUCAUAUUGUUCAUAAUGAUCUCUAAGUUACAGCUUCAGAGUCAAAGUCUGAAUAGCUGGCUUCCCACUGGCAUGAUAAUUUUAGUCACAGGAUUAAGCUGAAUUUUCUGCUUAGGUUUAUUUGAAGUAGAAUUCUCGAUUUAAGCAGACAGUAGAAACAUGAAGAAAGACUCUUUAACAAGAUAUACCAUUUAGGAAAAAACUUAGGGAGACACCAGGUAAGACUGAAUGUUUUUCUACCUCAUCUUUGGCUAUGUUGCUCAUUGUUUGAUGAUUUUUUUAUCAUAAUUAAUGAUUUGAUUGAUUGUGGAAUGUUUAACCUUGAAUUUCACUUCAAGGCUUGAGUGAGCCCCUUAUAAUAUGAUUUUUCCCCCCAUCUUUCUAGGGCUUCUUUAAGGAAUUAAAAUCUUAUCUUCCAUGGUCAGUUAUCAAAACCACUGUAGCUUUUUUUCCUCUCAAACCAUUUAUACCAUAAUCUCAUCUUGACAUCAGCCAACCUCAUUCUUAAAAUUUAUAAAGAAAAAUAUUUAAUCCUGUUUCUCAAGUUACUUGCCUUGUUUCUCCACUCAUUUAUCUGCCUCUUACCCAAUAGGAAAGAAGAGAUUAAAACAUCCAUAGGCAUGACAGUAAUUCUAGCAUGCUCGAGGUGCUUCCAAGCAUCCUUUUUUAAUGGGAAUGGAAUUUCAUUUAUUCUAACUUGUCUGCUCCCUUCUGCCACCUGCCACCUGCCCUUAGAUGCACAUAAGUGGUCUUCACAGUCACAGCUUGCCCUGUUUGAAUGGAUCCAGACAUCUUUUCCCAGAAUUUAACUUUUUAAAGAAAGAUGCACCUAAGCACAAUAUUAGUUUUAAGUGGAACUCUCAGGCAGCUUCUCUAUAAUGUCUCAUUAACUGAAAAUACCAUUCGUGUACAUAACAGCUAAAAACGGCAAUUUGCUCUCUCUCUAAUUUCCCAUCUCUCUUCUCUGACUCUACACCAUGUUGGAAUUCAUAUCGCUUUGGGAUCUGGAGAGGUAAGAGGUCAGGGGAGACCCACAAAGGCCAGGGGAGCAGAGAGAGACAUUUGGAGUGGGGAUCCUGGCUAACAUGUGGGUAUAUCCCUUUUAUUUGCUAGCUCUGUAUCCUGAUCAUGGAUUGACUUGCUCUGUUCCUGGCCUCAGAGCCCACUACCUGGCUUAAUGGAUUCCUGGAGUUGUAUUUUAAAGCCCAACGGAUGGAUUAAGAGAGUUAUUAAGAAUAUGACCAAUUAUAGUGGUGGCCUGAGCCACAAAAGGCCAAAACCCAGGAGGACCUCAUCCUUCUCAAAGCUUUUUUUUUUUUUUUUUUUUUUUUUUUUUUUUUUUUUUUUUGCCACACCUGCAGCCUGUAGAAGUUCCUAGGCCAGGGAUUGAAUACAUCAUAGCUGCAGCAAUACCUGACCCUUUACCCACUGGCUUGGCAAACGAUCGAAUCCAUUCCUCAGCAGUAACCCAAUCCACCGCAGAGACAACACUGGAUCCUUAAGCUGCUAUGCCAUAGCAGGAACUCCUAAACAUUUUUGUAUUAUAGCACUAUGUAGCACCACAUACUGGGUCAGUUUCUUUUAAAUUCACGUCAUGUAAUUCUCAAAGGAAUUCUGCAGUUGGAACAUAUUCCCUUAAUAAAAUAAGGGAUAACUUAAUAAAAUAAGAAUUGAUGGAAUGAAUUAGAGUAGCCUAGAAAAAGUAUUACUAGGUAUUUUAUUAUUAUUAUUAUUACUAAAAAAUGUUUAACGUGGGAGUUCCCAUCGUAGCACAUCAGAAACUAAGCCAACUAGGAACCACGAGGUUGGUAGUUCAAUCCCUGGCCUUGCUCUUUGGGUUAAGGAUCCGGCAUUGCCAUGAGCUGUGGUGUAGGUCUCAAAUGCGGCUUGGAUCUCGUGUUGCUGUGGCUCUGGUGUAGGCUGGCAGCUACAGCUCCAAUUAGACCCCUAGCCUGGGAACCUCCAUAUGCUGCAGGUGCAGC